ensembl:misc_RNA Metazoa_SRP Metazoan signal recognition particle RNA
GCUGGGCAUGGUGGUGCAUGCCUGUAAUCCCAGCUACUCAGGAGGCUGAGGCAGGAGAAUCGCUUGAACCCAGGAGGCGGAGGUUGCAGUGAGCCAGGAUCACACCACUGCUCUCCAGCCUGGGUAAUAGAGUGGGACUCUUUCUCAA